CCCUUAGAUGUUCUGGGCUGCACGCGCGCUACACUGACAUACUCAGCAAGUUUCCUUUCCCGAAAGGGUUGGGUAAUCUUGUUAGUGUAUGUCGUGAUGGGGAUAGAAUAUUGUAAUUAUUGCUCUUUAACGAGGAAUUCCUAGUAAGCGCAAGUCAACAGCUUGCGCUGAUUACGUCCCUGCCCUUUGUACACACCGCCCGUCGCUCCUACCGAUUGGGUGAUCCGGUGAGGCCUCCGGACUCGACCCGACGUCUCGUCAGAGGCCCGGGAUGGGGAAGUUGGUCAAAUCUUACCAUCUAGAGGAAGGUGAAGUCGUANCA
rnacentral:rRNA from 1 species